rnacentral:tRNA from 1 species
GGGUGUGUAGUUCAGUGGUAGAACGCUGUCCUGAUAAGACAGAGGCCGGAGGUUCGAUCCCUCCCACACCCACCA